GAAAUCGUGCUAAAAUGUCUAAAGCACGAUAUUGCAUUCCCAUUGACUUCCAAAAUAUGAGUAUUGUAAGCUUUUGGGUUUAUACUUAUGUUUUACGUAUAAACAAUUAGAAUGUUUUAUCAUAUAGUAUUAAACCGUCGAUGUUUCUCUAAUUAGAAUGAAAUAUAAGUCAAAAACCAAGGAUGGUUGGGUCAAGAUUUUAUAAGUAAUAUAAAUCUGGACAUUCUAAAACGUGUUGGAUAUGUGGUCAUGUAGACUGUAGAGUUAUGACUUGCACGCGAAUGUGGGGACAAAUGGUUGGGACGC
rnacentral:lncRNA from 1 species